rnacentral:rRNA from 1 species
CGCAUCUGUGCAUGCAGCAUAUCAAUAAGCGGAGGAAAAGAAACUAACAAGGAUUCCCCUAGUAACGGCGAGUGAAGCGGGAAGAGCUCAAAUUUGAAAUCUUAAAGGGUUUCCCUUUACGAAUUGUAGUUUAAAGAAGUGUUUUCUGUUGAGGUUUUGGUAAAAGUUCUUUGGAAUAGGACAUCAUAGAGGGUGAGAAUCCCGUAUUUGACCUUUACUUUCAACUUUGUGAUACACUUUCAAAGAGUCGGAUUGUUUGGGAAAUGCAGUCCAAAAUGGGUGGUAAACUUCAUCUAAAGCUAAAUAUUGGCGAGAGACCGAUAGCGAACAAGUACCGUGAGGGAAAGAUGAAAAGAACUUUGAAAAGAGAGUUAAACAGUACGUGAAAUUGUCAAAAGGGAAGCGUUUGACACCAGUGUUGUUUUUCUGAAAAUCAAUUAAAGAACUGUUUAUGCUAAGUUGUUUAGACUUUAUCAGCUAUCUGCUUAGUUUUGAGCUUUUCUUUAAUGCACUUUUCAGUUAACAAGUCAACAUCAAUUUCUUUUGCUGUAAAAAAGCUUGAGGAAGGUGGCUUGAGAUUCGUCUUAAGUGUUUAUAGCCUCUUGCCUAUGCAGUCGGAGAGAUUGAGGUCUGCAGCGUAGAUCCUUCGGGGCUAAAUGCAUUUGUGCUAAGUUAUAGCAUUUUAUAGACAACUUGUUGACUAUGAUUUGUCUUGUAGCUUACUCGCUUAUGUUAUUUUACCUACGCUUAGGAUGUUGAAGAUGUAGCACAUCAU